AAUAUACUCCCUCCGUUCGGAAUUACUUGUCGCAGAAAUGGAUGUAUCUAGAUGUAUUUUAGUUCUAGAUACAUCCAUUUCCGAGACAAGUAAUUCCGAACGGAGGGAGUAUAUG
rfam:Triticum aestivum genome assembly, contig: Triticum_aestivum_CS42_TGACv1_scaffold_485761_6AS